UAUCGCGAUAACAAAAGCGACUAUCACCACUGAAAACGUCAGAAGGGAGACCAAGUGGAGUUCUCGCGAUAAUUCCUGUGCUUACGAGUUGUUUAGUGAAUCAAAAGGCGUGGUCUCGGUGAAAGGGGCGUGCCUAAACUGAAAUGGAGACGUGUUUUAGGUGUAAUUGUUGACCAAUCCGGAAUCUCCUCCUGCAAGAAGGGAGAGGUUGUCUUCGACUACUGAACAAAUACAGCCUAUCUCAGCUUCUUGGAGUCCUAGACCGUAAAUCCAAAUGAAGAACUUGGGAUUCCCAAACGUGGCAGAUGGGAUAGUCAUAAUUUGUUUGCCAAAGCAGAAAAAUGAAUGUGAUGACUUACAUGUGGUAUGCAAGAUAUAAAUUGAACGGCAGUUCAGAUUGUAAGUUCCCAGGAGGCAUGAACAACAUUAACUUUCUGUGAGAAAUUUUAACAUUGAACAUACAUAUACAUUGAAUUCAGCCUCCUUAAUGACAAAGGAUAUCACCUUGUUGAAUUUGAAGUGGUAAUGGAGAUAAUUAUGUUUCUUCUUCAACUUCGUUACAUGAGGAAUGCAGAAGAAUCACAUGUGUAUUAAAUUUUAAAGGUUGAUAGUGUCAGAACUGAGUUGAACUAGAGGAUGAUUGCCAAGCUGGUAUCUGUUAUGGAACUGCUUGCUUGCUGGUGGGGAGAAAUGAUCUGUGUUGUGAGCAUAUCGUAAGACUUUUUAUUCUGUAUCUCAAAAGCAGGAAAACAGAGAAAACAAGAAGACAUAGGGGAUUUCUAAAGCCAUAAAGCAGUGAAAGAACAUAACUUGGUGCAUAGAGGCACAAAUUGUAUGGCCAAACUGCUGAUUUGGACCAACUCUACCUUUUAUUAAAUAUAUG